rnacentral:rRNA from 1 species
UACGUAGGGGGCAAGCGUUGUCCGGAUUUAUUGGGCGUAAAGAGCGUGUAGGCGGUUUGGUAGGUCCGCUGUGAAAACUCGAGGCUCAACCUCGAGACGCCGAUGGAAACCAUUUGGCUAGAGUCCGGAAGAGGAGAGUGGAAUUCCUGGUGUAGCGGUGAAAUGCGCAGAUAUCAGGAAGAACACCCGUGGCGAAGGCGGCUCUCUAGGACGGUACUGACGCUGAGACGCGAAAGCGUGGGGAGCGAACAGG